AGGGUUUGAUCAUGGCUCAGGACGAACGCUGGCGGUGCGCCUUAUGCAUGCAAGUCGAGCGAAGCUUUUCAGUAGUUUACUACAGAAAAUGACUGAGCGGCGAACGGGUGAGUAACGCGUGAGCAAUCUACCUUAGUUACAGGGAUAGCCCGAGGAAACUCGGAUUAAUACCUGAUAUUCUUUAUUUCUCGCAUGAGAAUAAAAGGAAAGGUCAGCCGAACUAAGAUGAGCUCGCGUUCUAUCAGCUAGUUGGUGAGGUAAAAGCUUACCAAGGCUACGACGGAUAGCUGGUCUGAGAGGACGAUCAGCCACACUGGGACUGAGACACGGCCCAGACUCCUACGGGAGGCUGCAGCAGGGAAUAUUGUGCAAUGAACGAAAGUUUGACACAGCGACACCGCGUGUGGGAUGACGGAUCUAGGUUUGUAAACCACUUUCAGGAGGGAAGAAAAUGACGGUACCUCCACAAGAAGCCCCGGCCAACUACGUGCCAGCCGCCGCGGUAAUAC
rnacentral:rRNA from 1 species